AAUAGAUACCCCGGUAGUCCACGCCGUAAACGAUGAGUGCUAAGUGUUAGGGGGUUUUCCGCCCCUUAGUGCUGCAGCUAACGCAUUAAGCACUCCGCCUGGGGAGUACGGUUGCAAGACUGAAACUCAAAGGAAUUGACGGGGGCCCGCACAAGCGGUGGAGCAUGUGGUUUAAUUCGAAGCAACGCGAAGAACCUUACCAGGUCUUGACAUCCCGUUGACCGCUAUGGAGACAUAGCUUUCCCUUCGGGGACAACGGUGACAGGUGGUGCAUGGUUGUCGUCAGCUCGUGUCGUGAGAUGUUGGGUUAAGUCCCGCAACGAGCGCAACCCUUGUUCUUAGUUGCCAUCAUUAAGUUGGGCACUCUAAGGAGACUGCCGGUGAUAAACCGGAGGAAGGUGGGGAUGACGUCAAAUCAUCAUGCCCCUUAUGACCUGGGCUACACACGUGCUACAAUGGACGGUACAAACGGUUGCGAAGUCGCGAGACGGAGCCAAUCCGAGAAAACCCGUUCUCAGUUCGGAUUGUAGGCUGCAACUCGCCUAC
rnacentral:rRNA from 1 species